CCAGGUAUGGUGGAAUGGUAGACAUGUUGGUCUUAGAAACCAAUGACAAAAGUCGUGGGGGUUCAAAUCCCUCUACCUGCA
rfam:Genlisea aurea contig_2620, whole genome shotgun sequence.